GUCUCCUGGAGCCUCGUAACCUGCGUGUUUCAGAUGAGUGGUACACUCGUUUCCGUGUGUCCUGGGACCCUGUACCUGCGCGGGUCAACGGUUAUAAUCUGGUCUAUACCCCAGUGGGCACGGAUAACACCAUGGAAGUGUUUGUUGGAGAUGUUACUACACACAUCCUGCCCAACCUGCAGCCUGGCACCACGUAUGACCUGAAGGUUUAUGCUCAGUAUGAUGCAGGAGUGAGCGGCGCUCUGGUCGGACAGGGAACCACCUUGUACCUCAAUGUGACUGACCUCAUUACAUACAACGUCGGCUAUGACUCCUUCUGCAUCAGAUGGACGCCU